AAAAAAAAAAGAAAAAAAAAGAAAAAGGGGAGAGAAAGAAAAAAAUAAUUUAUCGAGGAUUUGUCUCAAGGGAUUUGAUAAUUUGAAUUUGUUUUUUUUUUAAACGUACCAACGAUCAAGCCAAUACGACAAUUUCUAUUCUUCCAAGCACAGGACAUUAAGAUCGAUUCGAUGAACAACGUUUACAACGUUAAUUGGCAAAUGAUGAUGUAAAGAAAGAAAGGAAAAGGUAAAGAAGAAAAUAUCUAAUAAUAUCGUACGUCUCUUUUUCUAAUGGCUUCCUCCAAUAAAGCGACUACGUCUUCGCCAAUAACUCCGCUACAAUUAAAGCCCUUUGUCCAUCUUACAAGAUACCCUUUUGUUAAACCAUGCUGGGAUAAUGGAAAACUAAAGGUUAUCAUUGUACAACGAAAAGCCUGUUACCUGUGCCAUUUGGAAGAUCCUGUACGUAUGUGGUAAAACAUUUCACAAUGGCAUCAUCGUGACCAGAUUUUGAGAGCCCUUUAUUAAUCUCUUCCAAGAGCCUUGCCAUAAC